GAAACACCAAGAGGAGCAGUAACUGGGCUUCUACUUUGAACACCAGGGCUCCCUGCUACCUGCUCAACCUCUUCCCCUUCUUCAACAGAAGCAACUUCAACUGGAGGUCUGCUACCAAGUGAAAGGAGUUCCGUAGCACUUUGCUGUUCUUGUGCCCUUGAAUUCAAUUCCUCACAAACCACACUUUGGGGCUUCCCAAGUGGCCCCAGAGGACUAGGGCGGUCCCUGAACCUGCGAUCUCGAUUGACAGGGGACCUUCCCUUCCUAGGGGAAGGAGGAAAGGCAUCCCCGUAAAGCGACUGAAGACAAUUUCUCUGGUACCCCUUUGCAGUUUUAAUAUUAACGCUACUUCCCACUCUUUUAAUACCUUUUGAUGGGGGAACUUCAGCAAGGCAAGCAUUCUUGAGAAUCGAUCGAAUAAGGCAGUUGUGAAGACGGAUAUUUUCCCUACCAAUAAUCUUAAUACAAAACUUAUCAAAUUCAGACUUUGUUAUCUUAAAGCUAAACAAUCUUGUCAGCUGAUCAAAGUACUUAUCUGCUCUUUUGUGCCCAAUCUUUUUAAUAAUCAAAGUUUUGAGCUCUAAAGUAUCGAUUCGAGUAUAGCUUUGAUUAGACAACAUCGUUUCACUUCCCCAAA
rnacentral:misc_RNA from 1 species